CAUAGGUGUGGAGGAUGUCCUAGAGCUUGUGUUGGGAGUCCUGGAUCUCCUCUAUGCAAUCUGAAGUCCCCUGGUGACUCUGCACAGCAGAUCUUGGAACUGCCUGAAGUCAUCUGGAGGGAAAAGGGAUGUUGAAGUCACUGCUUCAUCCAGCAAUGAUGACAGUUGUCCAGCCUGUUCUGGUAGAACCGCCAAAACCAGAGUGUAGCAUUCCUCCUCCUUUAUCAGAUCUGGGGUUAAAUUGAUGGUUCCCUCAGAGGGGAGGCAGGCAGCAACUCCCUGGAGGAUUGGAUAGAUUCUGAAAGAGGGCACUGGUGCAAGGGUCCCCAAUAUGGCCAGUAAGAGGGUCAACAGGUGGCCAUGGAGAUCACCAUGGCAGACCAGUGACAGAUUAGGCAGUGGUUAGUCCCAGGGCGUAUGGGGCUCCUGGGAAAUGGAUAAGGGUGGUACAGGAGGAGUGGUUCCUUCAAUGGUUCUGAAUCUCCCGAGGAGGAAAAGGCUGAUAUGGCUUCCAGUGGAGGUACCAUCAGUGCUGUUGGAGAGAUCUGCAGUCAGUGAAAGUGCUCAAGAUGAUGUCACCUUGGAAUAGAAGAGACUCUAACAACAAUUCAACACUGAUCUGAGCUGGGCAAAUCUCAUUUGAUACUACAGAGAACAGCAUGCAGCAACUAGAGGUCUAUAAAAGCCCCUGAGAGAUUUUAGCAGAAUUUCACAUUUGCAUGCUCACCCAGUUUGUGAAACAGACCCAUAUUACCUAACUGAAUGAUAUGAAGUCUUGGACUGAUGAUCAACACAGCUGCUUUGACCACUUGGCACCGUAAGAGGAUUCUGAAUAUGCUAUUAAAAAUAAGAAAAAAAGGGAAGUAUCCAUUAGAAACUGCUUACAGGUCUGGAGUAUUAUACACAGUCCCAAGAAAGAUCUUCUCAUUCUUCAGCCUCCGAGUAUUUUCCUUCUCCAGAGUCAAAGCCAGAGC